CACACCGAGACCCCACUGGGGCGUGUCGUUCUAGGACCACAGCCACUCUCCAGACAGACGGGGCCUGUUUCUGCUCAGCUAACUCCGCCCGGCCAGUGUUCUUCACUAGGACAGACGGGCAGCUUCUGGGUCACCUGCAGCUCGAUACAAAUGCAGAAUCUGAGAAACGCCCAAGACCCACUGAGUCACAGUCUGUCCUUUCACAGGAUUCCCUUCCCGCCACGUCCCAGGCACCUGCAGGCGUGUACAGUUGGAGAAGGGCCAGCGCUAACGCGCCUCCGUCGGCGGCCUGUUCCUGUCUGACUCCUUGACAUCUUACUUCAGCGACUUGUUAAUUUUCAAGGAGAGGCAACAUCUCUUUCUUGAUAGUUGCAGCUCAUAUCCUGUCUUUUGUUCCUAUUGGCCAACCAUGAUCACAUGCUGGGGCCUGAAGGUCGGGUCCCACCUGGA
rnacentral:lncRNA from 12 species